CCUACGGGAGGCAGCAGUAGGGAAUAUUGCUCAAUGGGGGAAACCCUGAAGCAGCAACGCCGCGUGGAGGAUGAAGGUUUUCGGAUUGUAAACUCCUUUUGUUAUCGAAGAUAAUGACGGUAUCUAACGAAUAAGCACCGGCUAACUCCGUGCCAGCAGCCGCGGUAAUACGGAGGGUGCAAGUGUUACUCGGAAUCACUGGGCGUAAAGGGCGCGUAGGCGGGAUAGUAAGUCAGAUGUGAAAUCCUAUGGCUUAACCAUAGAACUGCAUUUGAAACUGUUAUUCUAGAGUAUGGGAGAGGUAGGUGGAAUUCUUGGUGUAGGGGUAAAAUCCGUAGAGAUCAAGAGGAAUACUCAUGGCGAAGGCGACCUGCUAGAACAUAACUGACGCUGAUGCGCGAAAGCGUGGGGAGCAAACAGGAUUAGAUACCCGAGUAGUC
rnacentral:rRNA from 1 species